AUUGAACGCUGGCGGCAGGCCUAACACAUGCAAGUCGAGCGGGGUUUUCGGACCAAGCGGCGGACGGGUGAGUAAUGCGUAGGAAGCUACCCGAUAGAGGGGGAUACCAGUUGGAAACGACUGUUAAUACCGCAUAAUGUCUACGGACCAAAGUGUGGGACCUUCGGGCCACAUGCUAUCGGAUGCGCCUACGUGGGAUUAGCUAGUUGGUGAGGUAAUGGCUCACCAAGGCGACGAUCCCUAGCUGGUUUGAGAGGAUGUUCAGCCACACUGGAACUGAGACACGGUCCAGACGCCGACGCGAGGCAGCAGUGGGGAAUAUUGGACAAUGGGCGCAAGCCUGAUCCAGCCAUGCCGCGUGUGUGAAGAAGGCCUUCGGGUUGGAAAGCACUUUCAGUAGGGAGGAAGCGUUGUGUGUUAAUAGUGCACAGCGUUGACGUUACCUACAGAAGAAGCACCGGCUAACUCUGUGCCAGCCGCCGCCGUAAAAC
rnacentral:rRNA from 1 species